GAUCCUGGCUCAGGAUGAAUGCUGGCGGCGUGCCUAACACAUGCAAGUCGAGCGGCAGCGCGAGUAGUUUACUACUUGGCGGCGAGCGGCGGACGGCUGAGUAACGCGUGGGAAUCUGCCCCAAAGUGAGGGAUAACUGCCCGAAAGGGUAGCUAAUACCGCAUAUGGUCUUCGGAUUAAAGCAUUUAUGCGCUUUGGGAGGAGCCCGCGUCGGAUUAGGUAGUUGGUAGGGUAAUGGCCUACCAAG
rnacentral:rRNA from 1 species